AUACGGGGAGAGGGGUGGGUGCAUGUACCUGGCUGCAGUGCAGUACCCGUGAUCGCCAGACAGGGAAACGAAGAGGGUAAGUGGGAUUCGCGAGGGUGGCGGAGGAAUGCGUUCGUCGUGGCAGGGAAGGAGAGAGCGAGCUAGCCGCAAGCCGCAAUGCAGCACGCGCAGACGUUCUCCGCGCGCAGACGUUCCGCGUUUCGAUGAAUGUGCUCAUCCUGCUCCAUCCUGAAUUCUCGUGCAACCUGAGACGCUGACAUCGCAGCCUGAACCCAUUACAAUCGCUUCAUUCACUAUUUUACUCUUAAUACUGUUUACGUAAGAAAGCACCGCACAACAUACUCGCUCUUGGUAGUUUUGAAAAACUUUAAGAGUGUAAGUCGUGCCGCGCAACUAAAGAUAAAAAUUUAUGAAGAAAUACAAGAACUGCAGAAAAGAGGGUAUAUUCGGCUGUCGUCGCGAAGAGAGUUACGAAAGAAUGCAUUGCUGAAAUUUCAUUCGCUGAGCAUAUAUUUAAUUUCAAAGCAAACUGAAAAUAAAUUUUUUAUUAUCUUUAGUUUGUUUUAAAUUAAAUAUUUCUACA
rnacentral:lncRNA from 13 species